rnacentral:rRNA from 1 species
AACGAACGCUGGCGGCGUGCCUAACACAUGCAAGUCGAACGAGAAACUUCCCGCUUGCGGGAGGGAGUAAAGUGGCGCACGGGUGAGUAACGCGUGGGUAACCUGCCCUUGAAUCUGGGAUAACUCUGCGAAAGCGGUGCUAAUACCGGAUAUGGUUUCGAAGACUUCGGUUUUCGGUAUUAAAGGUGACCUCUUCAUGAAAGUUGCCGUUUAAGGAUGGGCCCGCGUACCAUUAGCUUGUUGGUAGGGUAAUGGCCUACCAAGGCUACGAUGGUUAGCUGGUCUGAGAGGAUGAUCAGCCACACUGGAACUGAAACACGGUCCAGACUCCUACGGGAGGCAGCAGUGAGGAGUUUUGCGCAAUGGGGGAAACCCUGACGCAGCAACGCCGCGUGAGCGAAGAAGGCCUUUGGGUCGUAAAGCUCUGUCAAGUGGGAAAAACGUCUACCGGUCAAUAGCCGGCAGAUCUGAUGUACCA